AUGGCCCGAGUUCUCAUUGUCCGGAUGUAGCAUGAAACAGACUUCAUGAAAACCAAUGAUGUUACCAGCCUUGAUUUUCUCCUGCUGGAUGACACCAUAAGUAGCAAACUAAAUAUGAUUUCAUCCUGCUGUUGUGCUUAUUUUCUUAGAUAUGAGCACUUCAUGGUAUAUUAUAACACUUCAUAAUAUAUUCCUACAUAGGGAAAUUGGUUAACAGUUAAACUGAGUCCAGCAAUGUAUAUUUAUUGGUACCUAGAAAUGCUUUCAAUUAUGCUUUGGCGUACGAUUGGCUUACACUGUGUAGAUUAGAUAAGAUUGUAGUCAUCUGCCGGGGGUUAGUGAGCUUUCAAUUACCAUGUGUAUAUUACACAGGAUUGUAGGCAUCUGCAGACUCAACAAUCAGUUCCUUUUAUAUUAUUGCCUUAUCGUAUCUCAGGGUGACCUGCUGCACGCAAUUGUUCAUAAGAAAUUCAUCUGGAAAUUCAUCUAGAAGAGGGGAUGCUGUUGUGUCUUGACAAUUUGACAUUUGCCCCAGAAAAAAAAUAUGUUCCGCCCUGCCCAGAAUGACUACCGCGCCUACUUUAACUGGAAUACUGAUAUUACACCACUUGAAGCCUCCAGUGCGCCGAUUCCUCGCCACAAGUUCAAUUUCACUGAGAUUGAGAACCUUGCAGCUGCUAACACCAACAGUUACCUUACCGGUGACUUCAAUGAAUAUUACAUCUGUUGAAUCCCAAGCCGUGCUUAAAUCACCUAAUAUUUAAUUAUUGUUGUUUGCAGAUGUUGUUGGUGUGCUGACCAACCACACAAACUUGCAGCAGUUUAAGCGAAAUUCUGGCAAUGCAAGUUCCAUGUGUGAGCUAACACUGGAAAACUUAAGUGGUAUGAAGAUUAAGGUCUCACUAUGGGGUGAUUCCACUUCUGAGCUUACCCGGAACCUUGAAUUGCAUGAACUUAUUCCGCAGCCUGUUGUAGCUGUUGUUGCUGGUGUCUAUGUCAAGCAAUAUCUUGGCAAGGCGUCGCUCUCUUCAACUAAUGCGACUAAAAUUUACUUUGACCUCGAUAUUCCAGAAGAGCCAAACAUGCCGGAUGUAUUGCUUGAUAUACAAAAUUAACCCAAUUGGCUGAAUUUGCAAAAAAAACUAUCUUAAUUCCAUCCAUGCAUAUUAAAUUAACCCUUAUGUCGACUUGGCUGGGGAAAUAACUCCAUAAGAGCCAAACAUGCCGGAUGUAUUGCUUGAUGUACUUCCAGUUACCAAUCAGAAUCAGAAAAAGACGGUUAAUGACUUGCUACAGCACAUUGGAAAACCAAAGUUUACGCACAAAACAAUGUGCAAAGCAACAGCCACUCAAAUAAUAAAGAGUUGGUACUAUUUAAGUUGCACCAAUUGCAAUCAUGGGGUGAUGGAUUGUGACGGUGAACUUUGGUGCUCUAACUGUCAGAUCCAGAUUGAUAUACCAACACCAAGGUUCUCAAUUCGAUCAAGGGUGGAAGAUCCUACAGAGACUACUAUUUUUGAGGUGCCAGACUUUGAAAUCCAAAAUAUCCUGCGAUGCACGGCAACAGGACUGCUCUGUUUAGAAGAGGAAAACGGGAAAAUUUCCAUUGAUAAGGCGUUGAUGACAGUCUUAGGCGUGGAAAUUGAUUACUAGCUAACUAUUGACCAGUUUUACCAGAAUCAAGACUACAAGAUAUAGACGGUGGCAAGGAUGACUUACCCAUAUGCCUCAACAGACUGAUCUGGAUAUAGAGCGUUUAUGCAGGUUGCCCAGCAACAAACAUGCUUCAUCAUCAGCCGAACAUAACCCACAAAAGAAGGUCUGCAUAGGAAACAACUAAUCUGAAAGGGCGGCUUUUUGCUUUUCAUCGGACAUAUCAUCAAGUAUGUCGGAGUUUAUGGGGUUUUUGUUUUUUUGAUUUGCGUAGGAAUAAGUCAUUAUGGUGUUUGUCUAUUACUAAGCUUAGUCACUAAGCCUGAGUUUGUCUGUUAGAAUUUCAUUUCCUAUUUUUAGCUACAGUUGCCUACGUUUUAUUGUUAAGGUUUCUAAUGCUAUCAGUCAUUUAAUGUUUACCAUGAUUUUCAUUUAAACGUGAUUUAAGGGUAUUUGAUA